rnacentral:rRNA from 1 species
AACCGGAUUAGAUACCCUGGUAGUUCCAUGCCGUAAACGUUGGUCACUAGGUGUGGGGGACAUUCACGUUUUCCGCGCCGUAGCUAACGCAUUAAGUGCCCCGCCUGGGGAGUACGCCGCAAGGCUAAAACUCAAAGGAAUUGACGGGGUCCCGCACAAGCGGCGGAGCAUGCGGAUUAAUUCGAUGCAACGCGAAGAACCUUACCAAGGCUUGACAUGAACCGGAAUGAUGCAGAGAUGUGUCAGCCACUUGUGGCCGGUUUACAGGUGGUGCAUGGUUGUCGUCAGCUCGUGUCGUGAGAUGUUGGGUUAAGUCCCGCAACGAGCGCAACCCUCGUUCCAUGUUGCCAGCGGGUUAUGCCGGGGACUCAUGGGAGACUGCCGGGGUCAACUCGGAGGAAGGUGGGGACGACGUCAAAUCAUCAUGCCCCUUAUGUCUUGGGCUUCACGCAUGCUACAAUGGCCGGUACAAAGGGUUGCGAUACUGUGAGGUGGAGCUAAUCCCAAAAAGCCGGU